AGAGUUUGAUCAUGGCUCAGGAUGAACGCUAGCUACAGGCUUAACACAUGCAAGUCGAGGGGAAACGACAUCGAAAGCUUGCUUUUGAUGGGCGUCGACCGGCGCACGGGUGAGUAACGCGUAUCCAACCUGCCCACCACUUGGGGAUAACCUUGCGAAAGUAAGACUAAUACCCAAUGACGUCUCUAGAAGACAUCUGAAAGAGAUUAAAGAUUUAUCGGUGAUGGAUGGGGAUGCGUCUGAUUAGCUUGUUGGCGGGGUAACGGCCACCAAGGCUACGAUCGAGUAGGGGUUCUGAGAGGAAGGUCCCCCANAUUGGAACUGAGACACGGUCCAAACUCCUACCGGAGGCA
rnacentral:rRNA from 1 species